rnacentral:lncRNA from 1 species
UUUUUUUUUUUUUUUUUUUUUUUUUACCAACUGCCAGCCUUGAAAUGCGUGGUAACUGCUACAAGUUCUCUCCAAUGGUACCAGGAUAAUUUAAAUAUGUAAAUGAAAGAAUUGGGAACUUCUGAUUAUUCCAACUGUCUUCUUGUUAAAGUCAUGGCAUUUAUUAUAGGCAAAACACUUGUGGGAGAUUUUGCAGUUACUAAAAAUUCUUUAUACAAAAUAAUAUCUUCUUGGCACUGAGUACCAAGAAUUUAAGUUUGAUUUAUCCUUAGGCCCCUUAGAUUAGGGUAAUUGAUAAGUCAGUGUAUUUGUUAAUUCUGGAUUAUGAUAGGAAUAUUAUGAAUUAAAUAAUAAAUUAAAUGUAGCAAAAUAAAGCUAAAGAGGGUGGAGUAGAUUGAGGAUUAAAGUAGAAAUUAAUUAACUAGAAAACUAUAAGACAAUAGAGCUAAAUAAACAAAAAUGUGAAAUAUAUAGAAUUUUGACCAAUCUGAUAAAAAGAGGAAAAUACAAAUAGUAGAAAAAUGACAUUACCAUAGAUAGGAAGAUUGUAUUAGAAAUUAUAAGAGGGUACUCUGCAGUCUUAUGAAGUACAUUUGAAUAUACAUGAAAGGGACAAUUUUAAAUGAAAAUAUACAUCACCAAAAUUCAAUCAAUAUUUAAAAUAUUUCAGUGGGUGAAUGAUCACAGAAAAAAUUAUAUUUAGGCAAACUUCUAUCCCUAAUUUGAGACUACCAACCCAGAUAAUUUGCAAGUGAAUACCAAAAAAACACAGGGCAAUGAAAAACAUCUAUCUCACUUACAUUAUUCCAGGAAAAUGAAUGGAAAAUUUCAUAUUCAUUCUACAAUGCAUAUAUAAUACUGACUCCAAAACUGGACAAGGGGAGCUCUCAUUCAUACACACACACAUAUAUUCAUGAUCUAAAAUUAAUUUCAUUUAUUAAUUGAGUGCAAGAAUCCUAAAUUAAAUACUGCCAGUGUAUUGGCAAAUUAGUUAAUUCACACAUGCAUUUAUAUGUGUGUAUAUAUAUGUGUGUGUAAUUAUAUAUCAUUAUAUUUAUGACAAGACUUAUUAAACUGUAUACAUUGUGCUUAUUUUCAUUUAAUAUGUGAAAAAUAUUUUGAUUUCUUACCAUCUUCAACAAUAAUAUUUUAUUAGAUGCAUAGUAUUCCACUGAGAUCACCAAUUUAAGGCAAACUAAACAGUUAAUUUGUAUUGAACACAGAGUGUAUUUGCAGUGAUAUCAGGAAAAAAAAAAACCAAACACUGUCAGUUACUCAUUUUAUGCUAGUUUCAAUAAAUCUCCACGCAGCUAUGGAAUCAACUGUUAAUUUUCUAAACUCAGUAGGAGACUAAUUAACAUAGCAGAGAGAAUAGUGGGCAGUGGCGGGGCGGAAUUCCAAAGAUCUGUUGAUCUAAAAGUAUUUAAAUGUCUGGGCUCUUUAUUUCCUAAACUAAGGGGUAAUAGAAGAGGCAGAGUGGGAAAGGCUAGGAAUUUGAGGGAGGGUACUGAAUGCCAACUCAGAAGACAAAAUGGCAAGAACUCAUACUGUUACAGAGCAGUUAGUGCCAACCAAAGUCUACUGCUUGCUCUACAAAAGUAAGAAAAAACAUGAUUAUCAUUUCAGAAAUUUUAAAUUUUGGUCCAGUUGACAAGAAUGUUAUGCUAGCUUCGCUGUACAACAUAGUGAUUCAACAAGUUUAUGCAUUAUGCUGUGUCCACCACAAGUCUAUCUACCAUCUGUCCCUGUACAUCACUAUCAAAAUACCAUUGACUAUAUUGCCUAUGUUUUGACUUUUAUUCCCAUGACUUAUACAUUCCAUAACUAGAAGCCUGUAUCUUUCACUCCCCUUCACUCAUUUUGCCUAAUCCCCUACCCUCCUCCCUUUGGCAGAUAUCAGUUUGUUCUCUGUAUUUAAAAGUCUGAUUCUACUUUUCAUUUGUUUACUAUUUUUAUAUUCCACUUACAAGUGAAAUCAUAUGGCAAUUGUCUUUCUCAGUCUGAAAUAUUUGACUUAGCAUAAUACCAUCUAGGUCCAUCCAUGUUGUCACAAAUGGCAUGAUCUAAUCUUUCUUAUGGGUGUGUAAUAUUCUGUUUCAUAUGUAUGUAUGUAUAUAUGCAUGUGUGUGUGUGUGUAUACACACAUCCAUUUUUCUUAUCCAUUUAUCUCUUGAUGGACACUUAGGUUGCUCCCAUAUUUGGUUAUUGUAAAAAAUCCUGCAAAGGGGUGCAUAUAUCUUUUCAAAAUAGUGUUUUUGUUUCUUUGGGUAAAUACUCAAUAGUGGAAAGGCUGGAUCAUAUGGUAUUUCUGUUUUUAAUAUGUUGAGGAACCUCCAUACUGUUUUCCACAGUAGCUGUACCAAUUUACAUUCCUACCACAUAUUCUAAAAUUGUAAUUAUAUAGAGAAGAUUAGCAUGGCCCCUGCAAACUUCACAACCAUUUUUAAGUUUGUACAAUAAGUCAGGCAGAGCUAUAGGUAAGAUAAGAUAUAGUCACUUAAUGAAGUUUGAAAGUUUACCCCGUAAUGAAGGACAGCAGGCAAAACAUUUAUAUAAAAGAAAGUAUACAAAAGAGUGUAUACGGAUUGCAUAUGAGACAUUUGCAAACUAGCCUAGCUCCAAGUAGCUAAAUAUAAAUACAUGAAUUAGACUGAUUAGUCCCACAUAGGAUUAGCCAUGGCUAAUUAAUUAGCCAGGAUCAAAAGUUUUUCCUCUGUAUUAAUUGAAUCACCUUUUCAUAACACCCUAUAUUCCUGGAUUGCAGGGGUGCAUAGCCCUGACCCAAGCCUGGUCAAACAAGCAUUGGGUCCCCAUUUCUCCAUCCUUGAUGAUUGGUUCAGGAGAGGAUACAAGAUCCAACCAGGGCUACAGAAAUCUUGUCCUGGGAGUUUUAUGUCGGUUCUGUAAGGCACAAGUUCUCUUUAAACUCUGCUAAACAAAAAAGUUAGAAAUCUGGGGAUGCCCAUGGCCAUCUUUCAUGCCAUAUGGAGAACACUUGUUUGCAACAGCAGAGGAUGAAAUAAACACAAGAAUGAAGGAAGACAAGCUGAGAGAUGGACCAAGAAAAAUGCCCUGCAUCAUGUGUGAAGUGGGAUACACUUCAAGCCUUCCCAUUUAUAUGACAUAAUUAAUUUGUUUUUUGCAUUAGUCAAAAUUUUUGACUCUUGCAAUCAAAUACCUCCUGAAUAUAUCUUCCCAAUAUCUACCCUGUUCCUGAGAGACUUUUGUAUGUGAAGAAUUCAUACAACACUCUAGCAUCACCAUUUUUUUUUUUUAUUAUACUGUCUCCAGGAGCCCUGAGUCUCAAUCUACUUCAAACACCCUUGGACCUUUGUCAUUACCCAGAACUGUGCCAUGAUAAAAUGCUAUCCCUAAAACCCAGUUGCUCUUAAAUGCAGAGAUACGCAUAUUUAUUAGCGGCUAGAUUAUGAAAAAUCAAUAGUGACAGAUUGCAUAAUAUAAUUAGGUGUUAUAAAAAGUUUUUUUUUUAAUUCUUAUUGGGGGUAGUAAUAUUGAAAAAAGCUCAAGUGCUCAAUAUCAUUUCUAGCUAAACAUAUGGCAUGAAGAAGAGAUCUUGUUAAUGCUUUUCAUUGCCCCUAUUUUAAAACACAUGGUAUUCUUAUAUAUUGAUCACUCUUUAACCAAAAUAGACAAAAAGGGAAAACCGUAUCAUUCCAAUCCUGCUGAAUGCUAAAUAUAAUUGAUCUUUUUUUCCUUCACAUUUUUUUUAGCCUUAUGCUGCACUUUUAGGAAGCAUAUAGAAUUAAUUGAAUGUGAUGAACUACUGAAAUGUUCUGAGAUAGCACUGGGAUAAUAGAGAGGUAAAGAGCUGGGCCACUGUUAAUCAUAACAACAACCCACUUAAAAGCUGGAAUGUAUCAGCAAUCUGCUCUUGCCAUAUUGAUUUCACUUAGCCCUUCUGGAUGGAAUACAAGGGAGAUUUUCCAAUGUGGAAUCAAAACAGAUGGUAGGGAGGUUGGGGAAAAAAUAGUCUUUCAGUAUAAUGGAAGUCACAGCAAAGCUUUUUGAAAAAUAUUAUUAUAAUUUCUUGACAAACAACUGACAUAAAGCCAAAAACAUCUAUUGGUACCAUGGCAAGAAUCAGUGGCAUAAGAACCUUACAGUCUUCAGUGAUGUUCACUGGCUGUUUGCUUUUUAUCAAUGAAGUUAGACCUUACAGAACUGGUGAUACGACUCUCUUGUAGGGAAGUUCCUCAAAUCACUUUAUAAAUCAAAUGAUAUGACACCAUUGAGUAGAUUAGAGCUUCAGGGGAAAUCUUGACCUGGAAAUGGAAUUUUCAAAAUAACAUUUAAUCAUAGAGUAAGUGUUUAAGUGUUAUAUUUUUAUAAAAAAUGAUCAUUCAUAUUCAUAACCAAACAUUUACAGCAACACCUCAUGAUUUCAUAUGAGAUUAAUACGGAAGCCAAAAUCUUCUUCAUAUUCAAAAAAGAUGAAAGCCCAAUAUCAUAUAGGAAGCACUUACGGUUUUCUUUAUUCUACCUAAAGCAUUGGAAGUAACCAGUUUAAACUAGUUAACCAUAUAUAGUUACUAGAUUCUAUCUCCCUUGUGUAUAUAUAUAUCCUUCCCUUACUAUCCUUUCUUUGAUCUUUAGAAUUUGAGAGGAACUAAGGCAAUUGCUAUUCUAUGUACUUGCAAAACGCGAUAGCCUGGUGGAAAAAAAAUAGAAAUUUUAGUUCAAGGAUUUUAAUCCAAUUCUAUCACAUAUUAAGUCUUUGACCUUAGGCAGGUUACUUAACCUUUUAAACUUUCAAUUCCUCAUUGCAAAAUUGGAAUUAUAUCAAAUAAUGUUAAAGGUUAUUAAGAAGAUUAGAUACACAAUUAUAUAAAACUGCCUGGAUUAGUCCCUUUACUUUCCCUUAGUCUUGGCAAGAAAAUACAUUCUCUCUUUAAAGUGGGAGUGGGGUUGGAUAAUUGUCAAGUGGAGAUUUUUUUUUUCAUCUUUGAAGAGUCUAAUGCAUUUCUAGUCUUAAUACUGGGGGACUGAUUCCCCACUAAGCCUGCUAUGUUUUUUCAUGAGCACCGAUGAUUUAUGCCAGUGGGAAAAGGCAGUUUGAUCAGAAAUUGCCAUUACAACAGGUUGCUUGGGCUUGUCUUUCUGCAGCAAUGGAAAAGCAGGCACCAGGAAUAAAGCCAAAUGAGUAGAAGCAGAGUCCCAGAGUAAAUCUGCUUCUGCAUCAUGGCCAGUAGCCAGAUGGCUAUGAGAGCAUUACUAGAGUCAAAGUAGAAGGUUUCAGGAGUGGUACCAAACCACCUCAAGUGUAGGGCAAGCCAAAGACCUAACGCAUGUAAUCCACUGAAAUGAAUUCUGAGACACUGAAUAAAUAUUAAGUGUAAUUGGCCCAUCCUGGAAACUCUUUGCCCUCCACAAAAAGAGGGCCUUGCCUUCUUCCCCCAUGCCAAAGCCAACUUUUGGUGACUUUUGGUGCACUGCCAAACCAUAAAUGUUCCCCCCACUCAGCUCUGACACAUAGCUCCCAAAGAGAUCUCAUUCAUCUCUUUCAAAUGGACAUGGAGUCAUGUAUGUCUAGCAAGAUGAGAAGUCAUCACUUUCACAACAUGAUUGACCACUGCCUUAAAUCCUACCAGUUUUGUCCCCUCCAUUGUUUUGCACUUUAUUUUUUCUCUCUUUGCCUUUUGAUCUCCUCUUACUUCCUCUUCUAGAGGUUAGUAUAUGGGUUCAGUUAAGUUCACUGAUGCUAUGUUUCAACUGCAAGGUGCAUUAGAAACUAUUUAAAUUUCCUCAUUUUCACAAAGGCCAAGAUAUUGGGUCAUCUAUAGUGAUCAUAUAACUAGUGGUAGAGAUAGGAGUAGAACGCAGAUGUUUUGAGUGAUCUCUUGUACUUACAAAGCAAUGUAUCUUCUCUGGGAUAUGAAUCACAUAAUUUUCUGGGUACUUAGUAGGCCUUCAGUGAUAAAUAUUGGGUUAGUAGUUGUUCAACAAGUAAUUUCCACAUAAGACAUUUGAUCUAUAAAAAACUAGAACCCUCUGUGAAGUGGAUGCCAAAUAGAAAACAAUCUGAUUUAUAGGUUUACAAUUUCUCCCUGUUUCUUUGGAUUUGAGAAUGUGAAGCACAGCAUAGGUGAGUGGAAAGAGCCUAAGUAACAUGUGCUGGCAAACACACAGGCAACAGAUUUGGUUUUGGUGGGCAAAUUAUGGUUGUAUUUUCCCCUUUCAUCUUGGCUACCUUGUCACCUCAGAAAGUUCUACCCUCUGGGCUACAGUGCAUUUGCUUAUGCGAAGUUGGUAUUAAAAACCUGGUUCAUCAAAAGAGGAAAAAAAAAACAGAUGAUUGUCACAAGGGGAAGGCUUCUCAGAACUGAAGACAAGCUGCUCCUUUCCAACUGAAAAUGUCAAACACUUAUUCAUACGGUUCUUACCAGACUUGAUUUAUAUGAGCAACUGCCAAUCCUUAACCUCCCCCUCAUGCAAGUGCAAAUGGGAAACCUGCUCUUUCAGCCAUUAAAAUCAUGUUAGUUUUGUUGGAUAUCUUGAAUAAAAAAUUAUUUCUUCCCUCCGUGUGGGAGUUAUUGAUUGACCCUGUCAUUCGCUUUAAAAUCUUCUAGUUUCUAAAUGUGUUUGUUGUUUACCUGUGGUAUUAUAAAAAAAUACGCUUAUUUCCUUUAUGGUUUUCUAGGAGUUUGGCUUAAAAAAAUAAACAUUGCUUGCAACCUGACUGAUAAUUUGAAUUCAUAUUUUCUAAGCCCUGUGAAAAUUAUAGUCUUCACAGAAAGAGGAAAAAAUCAAAAUAAGAUAAAAUUUCAUGUAUAUCAUGUUUCCAGUAAAUAACAUGGCUUAUACACUAAAACCUAUGCAUUUUCUUAAGGACGCAAAUAUUUUAAUUUUUUUACUUUUGCAUUUCCUAAAUAAUAUAUGGCUUAUAGAGAAAUAUUCUUUAAAGAGCAUUCCCAGAUAAUGGGAGAAUUACUAGGAAAAAUGGCAUGUACAUGAUUGGGGCAGAUGAAAACAAGGUUUUCAGUAAAAAUGAAAAAAAAAAAAA